rnacentral:rRNA from 1 species
CCCAGACUCCUACGGGAGGCAGCAGUGGGGGAUAUUGCGCAAUGGGGGAAACCCUGAUGCAGCGACGCCGCGUGAGUGAAGAAGUAUUUCGGUAUGUAAAGCUCUAUCAGCAGGGAAGAAAAAAGACGGUACCUGACUAAGAAGCCCCGGCUAACUACGUGCCAGCAGCCGCGGUAAUACGUAGGGGGCAAGCGUUAUCCGGAUUUACUGGGUGUAAAGGGAGCGUAGACGGCAAUACAAGUCGGAAGUGAAAUACCCGGGCUCAACCUGGGAACUGCUUUGGAAACUGUAUGGCUGGAGUGCUGGAGAGGUAAGCGGAAUUCCUAGUGUAGCGGUGAAAUGCGUAGAUAUUAGGAGGAACACCAGUGGCGAAGGCGGCUUACUGGACAGUAACUGACGUUGAGGCUCGAAAGCGUGGGGAGCAAACAGGAUUAGAUACCCGAGUAU